rnacentral:rRNA from 1 species
AUUGAACGCUGGCGGCAGGCCUAACACAUGCAAGUCGAGCGGAUGAAGGGAGCUUGCUCCUGGAUUCAGCGGCGGACGGGUGAGUAAUGCCUAGGAAUCUGCCUGGUAGUGGGGGAUAACGUCCGGAAACGGGCGCUAAUACCGCAUACGUCCUGAGGGAGAAAGUGGGGGAUCUUCGGACCUCACGCUAUCAGAUGAGCCUAGGUCGGAUUAGCUAGUUGGUGGGGUAAAGGCCUACCAAGGCGACGAACCGUAACUGGUCUGAGAGGAUGAUCAGUCACACUGGAACUGAGACACGGUCCAGACUCCUACGGGAGGCAGCAGUGGGGAAUAUUGGACAAUGGGCGAAAGCCUGAUCCAGCCAUGCCGCGUGUGUGAAGAAGGUCUUCGGAUUGUAAAGCACUUUAAGUUGGGAGGAAGGGCAGUAAGUUAAUACCUUACUGUUUUGACGUUACCAACAGAAUAAGCACCGGCUAACUUCGUG